rnacentral:rRNA from 1 species
CCUACGGGUGGCUGCAUUUUUUACUCUUUUCCCCUGCGGGCCCCCCUGAUCCACCCAUGCCGCGUGUGUGCAGAAGGCCCUCGGGUUGUAAAGCACUUUCAGUGAGGAAGAACGCCUGGUGGUUAAUACCCAUCAGGAAAGACAUCACUCACAGAAGAAGCACCGGCUAACUCCGUGCCAGCAGCCGCGGUAAUACGGAGGGUGCGAGCGUUAAUCGGAAUUACUGGGCGUAAAGCGCGCGUAGGUGGCUUGAUAAGCCGGUUGUGAAAGCCCCGGGCUCAACCUGGGAACGGCAUCCGGAACUGUCAAGCUAGAGUGCAGGAGAGGAAGGUAGAAUUCCCGGUGUAGCGGUGAAAUGCGUAGAGAUCGGGAGGAAUACCAGUGGCGAAGGCGGCCUUCUGGACUGACACUGACACUGAGGUGCGAAAGCGUGGGUAGCAAACAGGAUUAGAUACCCUGGUAGUC